rnacentral:rRNA from 1 species
GGGGAAUAUUGCACAAUGGGCGAAAGCCUGAUGCAGCAACGCCGCGUGAGUGAAGAAGGCCUUCGGGUCGUAAAACUCUGUUGCCGGGGAAGAACAAGUGCCGUUCGAACAGGGCGGCGCCUUGACGGUACCCGGCCAGAAAGCCACGGCUAACUACGUGCCAGCAGCCGCGGUAAUACGUAGGUGGCAAGCGUUGUCCGGAAUUAUUGGGCGUAAAGCGCGCGCAGGCGGCUUCUUAAGUCUGAUGUGAAAUCUUGCGGCUCAACCGCAAGCGGUCAUUGGAAACUGGGAGGCUUGAGUGCAGAAGAGGAGAGUGGAAUUCCACGUGUAGCGGUGAAAUGCGUAGAGAUGUGGAGGAACACCAGUGGCGAAGGCGGCUCUCUGGUCUGUAACUGACGCUGAGGCGCGAAAGCGUGGGGAGCAAAC